rnacentral:rRNA from 1 species
UACGAAGGGGGCUAGCGUUGUUCGGAUUUACUGGACGUAAAGCGCACGUAGGCGGAUCGAUCAGUCAGGGGUGAAAUCCCAGAGCUCAACUCUGGAACUGCCUUUGAUACUGUCGAUCUGGAGUAUGGAAGAGGUGAGUGGAAUUCCGAGUGUAGAGGUGAAAUUCGUAGAUAUUCGGAGGAACACCAGUGGCGAAGGCGGCUCACUGGUCCAUUACUGACGCUGAGGUGCGAAAGCGUGGGGAGCAAACAGG